AGAAUAUCAUUCCUUAGAAUUAUCCUGUCAGUACACAUAGUAUGAAUUUUCAGAUUCGGUUUCCAUUUCAAAUGUCAUAGUAUUCGACAACCACUCAACCAUUGUUUGUUAUGGACGAGUUAGAGCUUCCAAGUGGAUUGUUUGAGACAGGUUGUGAACCCACUGGCAAGAAAAGGGUUAACAACUAUUUCAAUCUCCGUUGGAUUGAAGUGAUAAAGAGUGCAUUGGAGGAUAAGGUGUAGUAGUUUACCACUCCCCCAUUAGAUUUAUAUCCAAGUGACAUAGUAUACAGUAUAUGGAAUGGAAAAGGUACAACAAUAUAUACAUGUCACUCUAAAAUUUGUAUCUACGUUUUUCACUGCAUAUUCCAUGUGGUCAUGAGGUUUAUAUUUUCAUAAGAUGUGGUUUCCCUAUGUAUUGGGGUUUAUAUUUCCGUAACUUGGGUUUAGUGUUUAUACUCAACUGUUGUAUUACCAGAAGCUGAUAUUAUGUAUUUCGUGUGGCUAAUUAAGAAUGUAAAUAUUAUCUCUGUGUAUUAAUGCACGCAUAUUUAGUUUACCAAAGAUUUCGCUUCUCUGUGCUGGAUUGGAGUUUAUAUUUCCCUAUCUUGGGUUUAGUAUUUGAUGUCAAGUGUUCUAUUAUCAUACCCCUAUCUUUGUAUUUUAUUUUGCUCAUGAAGCGUCUAAAUACAUAUGUCCCCUAGUAUGCCAGGUGGAUUUAAUUUCAAAAAGGUUUGGGUUCCGUUACCUAUGUCUUGGGGUUUAUAUUCCCCUAACUUGGGUUUAGUGAUUACUCUCAAUUGUUCUAUUAUCACCUCAGUUAGUUUUGUAUUUCAUCUGGCUCAUUAUGAAUGUAAAUACAUGUCUCCAAGCUCCCAUUAUAAUACUUAAAUAUAUACAUGAUGUACUCUGCAGCUAGUGUUUAAUGUCAAGUGUAGUAUUGAUAAGAUAGUUUCAAUUGGACUCCUUCAUAAGUUGGAUCUAUCUUCUCUCUUACUCCUCUGACUAAAUCAGACAUGUUCAUAUCACGGUAGAGGUUAAUGUAGUGCUCACCAAUGAAGGAAUGGUCUGGUUCGAACACCCAUCUUUUAUGUAUGCCACUGACCCAAGAUCCAACAACCAGUAAAACUUUAUCUUCGCUAUUCAUCUGCAAUUAAAAGUAAGUGAAAAUCCAUUUAUAUUUCAAAAUUUAUUCCAUUACAGAUUCAGAAUAGUAUUAUUGUAUCAGAAAAGAGUAAAUUUCCUAUGAAACUAGGUUUAUUAGAAUAUUCUCACACGAACUUACCCCUUCUUGCUUCCAAACAGUGAAUCUGUAACUUCCUUCACUUUGUUGCUUCUGAGGGUCUUCACAUAGAUUACAAUGAUUAUUAUAUGGAAUACACCAUUUAUGGUUUUCUUUCACUUCACCAUUUAAGAUUAGCGGUGCUCAUUUCCACCACUCGUUUACCUCUCCACAGUAAAAAUAUCUUCAGUAAAUCUAACUUUCUACGUGGCUUUUCCCUACUCUUUAAUAUGGAAGAGCUGUAACCCACAAUUGCAAAUUUAUUGCACUAAUUACAUCAUCGCCUCUCCCCAACCGCACACUUCACCGUCUUUGUUCGUGAUUAAAUUAGUAAAUAAUAAACUGUAAAUCUAUUAUAUUUCUUGCAGAUAGAAUGGUAAAUACCCUCAUAUGAAAUAGAACAAGCAUAAGUUGGGUGACUGAGCGGAGAUGUUCUAUUUCCAAGUUGGGUGACUGAGUAAGUGCAUCAGUUUAUUUAUGCUGACAUCAACUGUCGCUAUAUUAUGUAUAUGCUAUUUGAAUUGGAACUAUAUUUGUAUUUCUACUACUCUAUGUAAAAUAUAUAGUAUGGUAAUACGAUUUUUGCAUUCUCCGUUUGUUUAACGUUGUUUCUUUUACACUUUCGUUUUUCAUCUAUUCCUCUCUCUGCAUAUUUUUCUUCUUUUGAUUUUCAUUUCACGCGCUUCCAAAAUUCUCUCAUUGUUACUAUGGGUCACAAAAUCACCAUGUCGUUUACUUUAUGUGAAGGAACCGGGUACCUGUUACUAAGAAGAGUAUAACCGGCUGGAAUGAUGGCAAAAAGACAGUCACUACAUUCUGUCAAAAUCAUGUUCAUUCUCUUGAUUUCUCUAUGAAAUAUGGCUAUUACGAAAAUAAGCCUUUUUUUUCUCUCUCCCUCUAACCAUCCGUUUGCCUCCCUUUGAGUUUCGUUUAGGUCGUUCUGAGAUAAGACAGUAUCAUAAUAUUUACUUGUCUCUAAGUAUUUGCCUGUAGGGUUUGUUCCUCUUGUUGAAAGUUUCUAGAAAAAAAUAGAUACUCUGUUUUGAAUAAACUUCAUAUCCGUCACAAGAACUUGCCGAGUGUUCGUCGCUACUGUACUGAAAAAAGUUUGAAUUUUGCAAAAGAAAAGUCAAUGUCAGUGGGUUUUAUCUUUGUGCUAUAGAUCAUUGGUUGGUUUUGUUAGUGGGUAUAAACCAUUUUUAUAAUAAAUUUAGAAGAAUAGAUGUGGGGUUCUUUCUUUCUUUCUUUCUUUUUUUGUUUCUUUUUGUUGCUAAAACAGAAUAAAAAUUCUGAAAAAGAUGACAAGAAUGUGUCAUAAAACUUAUUUAUUUACAUACAUUAUGCUAGUAUAAAUUUUCAAAUUAAAAAUUAUGAAUGCUGAAAAAUUUAUUUGUUACUUUUUACAAAAAAUAAAUUUGCAAAUUGAAAAUGAAUCAAAUUAUAUACAAAACAUGAUUAAAAUUAAAUAUUGAAAGCAUAUAAAUUUAAUUUAAAAUUAUGAAAUUUUAACUUUUUGAGCAAAUAUAAAAUUUUAACUAAAAACCCACAAAACUUAGAAAAAAACAAUAGAUAGGGUUUUUCGCGGGUAAUCCGUGGGUAACCCUAAAGUUUUAGGGUUUUUCGCGGAUUACCCUAAUGAUACUCGGGGUUUUCGGGUUUUUUAGUUUAUGGUAUUUUUUGGACAGGUUUAAUUCGGGUUCGGGCCGGGUCGGGUUUUUUUGUCCAUAACAACAUCCCUAGAACUUAGCAUACAUGUGGGGGCACUAAUUUCUGCAGAAAAGAAAAUGUACAUGUACUGUACAUUGAAAUUUAUCUCUUUUAUUAUGAACUUUAACUCUGAAAAUGGGUUAUACAAAAGUUAUAACUUGGUCCGACCGUAUUAACACAAAUGAUUUUGAAGAUGCCAAUAGGCAAAACGUGACGAUGGUUUUUGCAACAGUACUUCGUCGAACCAUCCUCUACCCAAAACCAGUCAACGCCGUGACACACAACAUAUCCACGAUCUAGCUAAAACCCAAAACUCCGAGAUUGCCAGAUCAAGUUUGGUUGAUAAUUCAAGCUCUCACCCAUGACCCGAAUGGCUAGAUUUGAUGGGGAUGCUGGUGAAGAAAGGUUACCUCGGAGAAUGCGUGACGGGUUCCAAAGAAUCGAAUCAUAUUCGCACUGCUUGUUUUGAUUUGAUUCUAUAUGGGUUUCUAUGCAUCUCGUGAAUGAAUUUGCUUUCUGGAUCAUUCGUUCCGUUAUAAUGUUUUAAGUGAGCUAAGAAUAUACUGAUUGGCAGUUUGGAUCCAUCUCUGGGGAUGUACAUGUAAUAUCGGUCCGUGAACAUUAACACAAAUCUUUUUAAAGAAGUUAAUAUCCUUAAUUAUGUCAUUUUGUUUUAUAUCCUUAUACUGAUGUAGGAAGAACUUCAAUUUCAUUUUGUUUUAUUUAUCACUGAAAUGAUGGGUUACAUAAAAGUUAUAUCGGUCCGUAAACAUUAUCACAAAUCUUUUUAAAGAAGUUAAUAUCCUUAUGUCGGCGAUUCAUGACAGGCAAUAAGCAAUGAUGAGGAAAUGAGUACACCACUUUGCAACAAUCGUUUCUUACCCAUCUGUAAUCAUUUUCCGCUGCUAAUUUCAACGAAUCAUAACAUCCCGGCACUUUAUCUAUGGCCCCUGUCGAACAAUAUUCCACUUUAGCUGCUGCUUCCGACAAUGCCGUGAAGAUUAGGGCUAAGAAGAAAAACAUCAAUUUAGAUUGUUUUGUAUUCAUUUUUGGAGGAUUGAAAAAGGACUAGCAGGUAUUCUUUUAUGGUUUUUGGAUUCUCUGGAGUUGAGAACUUUUGUUCUGGUGAAUAAAUGAAAAAAGUUUGCUUUAUAUAAAUUGAAGAUAGAGAUGAAAGACAGUAUGGCUAUAAAAUGAAUUCAAUGAUAACCAUUGAUUAUAGAAGAAUUCACAAAUAGAUAUCCCUCAGUUUACGGUACACUUCUCAUUUUUCCCUAUUAUUAGAAAAUCAAGCAACACCAAUAAGGAAAUAGAUAAUCUAAAAUUGAGGGAAAUCACAGAGAGAAAGGGAGUUAUGAUUUAUGAACCAGUAUUCAUAACAAUCAAAACUAUUAUUGAAAAAAUAGAAGUAAUAAAAAAAAAACAUAAUGCGCUAUAUAUGGCUAAAGCAUCGCGGUGCAUGAAAGACUAAGAGGUUUGUUAUGGACGAGUUAGAGCUUCCAAGUGGAUUGUUUGAGACAGGUUGUGAACCCACUGGCAAGAAAAGGGUUAACAACUAUUUCAAUCUCCGUUGGAUUGAAGUGAUAAAGAGUGCAUUGGAGGAUAAGGUGUAGUAGUUUACCACUCCCCCAUUAGAUUUAUAUCCAAGUGACAUAGUAUACAGUAUAUGGAAUGGAAAAGGUACAACAAUAUAUACAUGUCACUCUAAAAUUUGUAUCUACGUUUUUCACUGCAUAUUCCAUGUGGUCAUGAGGUUUAUAUUUUCAUAAGAUGUGGUUUCCCUAUGUAUUGGGGUUUAUAUUUCCGUAACUUGGGUUUAGUGUUUAUACUCAACUGUUGUAUUACCAGAAGCUGAUAUUAUGUAUUUCGUGUGGCUAAUUAAGAAUGUAAAUACUUAUCUCUGUGUAUUAAUGCACGCAUAUUUAGUUUACCAAAGAUUUCGCUUCUCUGUGCUGGAUUGGAGUUUAUAUUUCCCUAUCUUGGGUUUAGUAUUUGAUGUCAAGUGUUCUAUUAUCAUACCCCUAUCUUUGUAUUUUAUUUUGCUCAUGAAGCGUCUAAAUACAUAUGUCCCCUAGUAUGCCAGGUGGAUUUAAUUUCAAAAAGGUUUGGGUUCCGUUACCUAUGUCUUGGGGUUUAUAUUCCCCUAACUUGGGUUUAGUGAUUACUCUCAAUUGUUCUAUUAUCACCUCAGUUAGUUUUGUAUUUCAUCUGGCUCAUUAUGAAUGUAAAUACAUGUCUCCAAGCUCCCAUUAUAAUACUUAAAUAUAUACAUGAUGUACUCUGCAGCUAGUGUUUAAUGUCAAGUGUAGUAUUGAUAAGAUAGUUUCAAUUGGACUCCUUCAUAAGUUGGAUCUAUCUUCUCUCUUACUCCUCUGACUAAAUCAGACAUGUUCAUAUCACGGUAGAGGUUAAUGUAGUGCUCACCAAUGAAGGAAUGGUCUGGUUCGAACACCCAUCUUUUAUGUAUGCCACUGACCCAAGAUCCAACAACCAGUAAAACUUUAUCUUCGCUAUUCAUCUGCAAUUAAAAGUAAGUGAAAAUCCAUUUAUAUUUCAAAAUUUAUUCCAUUACAGAUUCAAAAUAGUAUUAUUGUAUCAGAAAAGAGUAAAUUUCCUAUGAAACUAGGUUUAUUAGAAUAUUCUCACACGAACUUACCCCUUCUUGCUUCCAAACAGUGAAUCUGUAACUUCCUUCACUUUGUUGCUUCUGAGGGUCUUCACAUAGAUUACAAUGAUUAUUAUAUGGAAUACACCAUUUAUGGUUUUCUUUCACUUCACCAUUUAAGAUUAGCGGUGCUCAUUUCCACCACUCGUUUACCUCUCCACAGUAAAAAUAUCUUCAGUAAAUCUAACUUUCUACGUGGCUUUUCCCUACUCUUUAAUAUGGAAGAGCUGUAACCCACAAUUGCAAAUUUAUUGCACUAAUUACAUCAUCGCCUCUCCCCAACCGCACACUUCACCGUCUUUGUUCGUGAUUAAAUUAGUAAAUAAUAAACUGUAAAUCUAUUAUAUUUCUUGCAGAUAGAAUGGUAAAUACCCUCAUAUGAAAUAGAACAAGCAUAAGUUGGGUGACUGAGCGGAGAUGUUCUAUUUCCAAGUUGGGUGACUGAGUAAGUGCAUCAGUUUAUUUAUGCUGACAUCAACUGUCGCUAUAUUAUGUAUAUGCUAUUUGAAUUGGAACUAUAUUUGUAUUUCUACUACUCUAUGUAAAAUAUAUAGUAUGGUAAUACGAUUUUUGCAUUCUCCGUUUGUUUAACGUUGUUUCUUUUACACUUUCGUUUUUCAUCUAUUCCUCUCUCUGCAUAUUUUUCUUCUUUUGAUUUUCAUUUCACGCGCUUCCAAAAUUCUCUCAUUGUUACUAUGGGUCACAAAAUCACCAUGUCGUUUACUUUAUGUGAAGGAACCGGGUACCUGUUACUAAGAAGAGUAUAACCGGCUGGAAUGAUGGCAAAAAGACAGUCACUACAUUCUGUCAAAAUCAUGUUCAUUCUCUUGAUUUCUCUAUGAAAUAUGGCUAUUACGAAAAUAAGCCUUUUUUUUCUCUCUCCCUCUAACCAUCCGUUUGCCUCCCUUUGAGUUUCGUUUAGGUCGUUCUGAGAUAAGACAGUAUCAUAAUAUUUACUUGUCUCUAAGUAUUUGCCUGUAGGGUUUGUUCCUCUUGUUGAAAGUUUCUAGAAAAAAAUAGAUACUCUGUUUUGAAUAAACUUCAUAUCCGUCACAAGAACUUGCCGAGUGUUCGUCGCUACUGUACUGAAAAAAGUUUGAAUUUUGCAAAAGAAAAGUCAAUGUCAGUGGGUUUUAUCUUUGUGCUAUAGAUCAUUGGUUGGUUUUGUUAGUGGGUAUAAACCAUUUUUAUAAUAAAUUUAGAAGAAUAGAUGUGGGGUUCUUUCUUUCUUUCUUUCUUUUUUUGUUUCUUUUUGUUGCUAAAACAGAAUAAAAAUUCUGAAAAAGAUGACAAGAAUGUGUCAUAAAACUUAUUUAUUUACAUACAUUAUGCUAGUAUAAAUUUUCAAAUUAAAAAUUAUGAAUGCUGAAAAAUUUAUUUGUUACUUUUUACAAAAAAUAAAUUUGCAAAUUGAAAAUGAAUCAAAUUAUAUACAAAACAUGAUUAAAAUUAAAUAUUGAAAGCAUAUAAAUUUAAUUUAAAAUUAUGAAAUUUUAACUUUUUGAGCAAAUAUAAAAUUUUAACUAAAAACCCACAAAACUUAGAAAAAAACAAUAGAUAGGGUUUUUCGCGGGUAAUCCGUGGGUAACCCUAAAGUUUUAGGGUUUUUCGCGGAUUACCCUAAUGAUACUCGGGGUUUUCGGGUUUUUUAGUUUAUGGUAUUUUUUGGACAGGUUUAAUUCGGGUUCGGGCCGGGUCGGGUUUUUUUGUCCAUAACAACAUCCCUAGAACUUAGCAUACAUGUGGGGGCACUAAUUUCUGCAGAAAAGAAAAUGUACAUGUACUGUACAUUGAAAUUUAUCUCUUUUAUUAUGAACUUUAACUCUGAAAAUGGGUUAUACAAAAGUUAUAACUUGGUCCGACCGUAUUAACACAAAUGAUUUUGAAGAUGCCAAUAGGCAAAACGUGACGAUGGUUUUUGCAACAGUACUUCGUCGAACCAUCCUCUACCCAAAACCAGUCAACGCCGUGACACACAACAUAUCCACGAUCUAGCUAAAACCCAAAACUCCGAGAUUGCCAGAUCAAGUUUGGUUGAUAAUUCAAGCUCUCACCCAUGACCCGAAUGGCUAGAUUUGAUGGGGAUGCUGGUGAAGAAAGGUUACCUCGGAGAAUGCGUGACGGGUUCCAAAGAAUCGAAUCAUAUUCGCACUGCUUGUUUUGAUUUGAUUCUAUAUGGGUUUCUAUGCAUCUCGUGAAUGAAUUUGCUUUCUGGAUCAUUCGUUCCGUUAUAAUGUUUUAAGUGAGCUAAGAAUAUACUGAUUGGCAGUUUGGAUCCAUCUCUGGGGAUGUACAUGUAAUAUCGGUCCGUGAACAUUAACACAAAUCUUUUUAAAGAAGUUAAUAUCCUUAAUUAUGUCAUUUUGUUUUAUAUCCUUAUACUGAUGUAGGAAGAACUUCAAUUUCAUUUUGUUUUAUUUAUCACUGAAAUGAUGGGUUACAUAAAAGUUAUAUCGGUCCGUAAACAUUAUCACAAAUCUUUUUAAAGAAGUUAAUAUCCUUAUGUCGGCGAUUCAUGACAGGCAAUAAGCAAUGAUGAGGAAAUGAGUACACCACUUUGCAACAAUCGUUUCUUACCCAUCUGUAAUCAUUUUCCGCUGCUAAUUUCAACGAAUCAUAACAUCCCGGCACUUUAUCUAUGGCCCCUGUCGAACAAUAUUCCACUUUAGCUGCUGCUUCCGACAAUGCCGUGAAGAUUAGGGCUAAGAAGAAAAACAUCAAUUUAGAUUGUUUUGUAUUCAUUUUUGGAGGAUUGAAAAAGGACUAGCAGGUAUUCUUUUAUGGUUUUUGGAUUCUCUGGAGUUGAGAACUUUUGUUCUGGUGAAUAAAUGAAAAAAGUUUGCUUUAUAUAAAUUGAAGAUAGAGAUGAAAGACAGUAUGGCUAUAAAAUGAAUUCAAUGAUAACCAUUGAUUAUAGAAGAAUUCACAAAUAGAUAUCCCUCAGUUUACGGUACACUUCUCAUUUUUCCCUAUUAUUAGAAAAUCAAGCAACACCAAUAAGGAAAUAGAUAAUCUAAAAUUGAGGGAAAUCACAGAGAGAAAGGGAGUUAUGAUUUAUGAACCAGUAUUCAUAACAAUCAAAACUAUUAUUGAAAAAAUAGAAGUAAUAAAAAAAAAACAUAAUGCGCUAUAUAUGGCUAAAGCAUCGCGGUGCAUGAAAGACUAAGAGGUUUGUUAUGGACGAGUUAGAGCUUCCAAGUGGAUUGUUUGAGACAGGUUGUGAACCCACUGGCAAGAAAAGGGUUAACAACUAUUUCAAUCUCCGUUGGAUUGAAGUGAUAAAGAGUGCAUUGGAGGAUAAGGUGUAGUAGUUUACCACUCCCCCAUUAGAUUUAUAUCCAAGUGACAUAGUAUACAGUAUAUGGAAUGGAAAAGGUACAACAAUAUAUACAUGUCACUCUAAAAUUUGUAUCUACGUUUUUCACUGCAUAUUCCAUGUGGUCAUGAGGUUUAUAUUUUCAUAAGAUGUGGUUUCCCUAUGUAUUGGGGUUUAUAUUUCCGUAACUUGGGUUUAGUGUUUAUACUCAACUGUUGUAUUACCAGAAGCUGAUAUUAUGUAUUUCGUGUGGCUAAUUAAGAAUGUAAAUACUUAUCUCUGUGUAUUAAUGCACGCAUAUUUAGUUUACCAAAGAUUUCGCUUCUCUGUGCUGGAUUGGAGUUUAUAUUUCCCUAUCUUGGGUUUAGUAUUUGAUGUCAAGUGUUCUAUUAUCAUACCCCUAUCUUUGUAUUUUAUUUUGCUCAUGAAGCGUCUAAAUACAUAUGUCCCCUAGUAUGCCAGGUGGAUUUAAUUUCAAAAAGGUUUGGGUUCCGUUACCUAUGUCUUGGGGUUUAUAUUCCCCUAACUUGGGUUUAGUGAUUACUCUCAAUUGUUCUAUUAUCACCUCAGUUAGUUUUGUAUUUCAUCUGGCUCAUUAUGAAUGUAAAUACAUGUCUCCAAGCUCCCAUUAUAAUACUUAAAUAUAUACAUGAUGUACUCUGCAGCUAGUGUUUAAUGUCAAGUGUAGUAUUGAUAAGAUAGUUUCAAUUGGACUCCUUCAUAAGUUGGAUCUAUCUUCUCUCUUACUCCUCUGACUAAAUCAGACAUGUUCAUAUCACGGUAGAGGUUAAUGUAGUGCUCACCAAUGAAGGAAUGGUCUGGUUCGAACACCCAUCUUUUAUGUAUGCCACUGACCCAAGAUCCAACAACCAGUAAAACUUUAUCUUCGCUAUUCAUCUGCAAUUAAAAGUAAGUGAAAAUCCAUUUAUAUUUCAAAAUUUAUUCCAUUACAGAUUCAAAAUAGUAUUAUUGUAUCAGAAAAGAGUAAAUUUCCUAUGAAACUAGGUUUAUUAGAAUAUUCUCACACGAACUUACCCCUUCUUGCUUCCAAACAGUGAAUCUGUAACUUCCUUCACUUUGUUGCUUCUGAGGGUCUUCACAUAGAUUACAAUGAUUAUUAUAUGGAAUACACCAUUUAUGGUUUUCUUUCACUUCACCAUUUAAGAUUAGCGGUGCUCAUUUCCACCACUCGUUUACCUCUCCACAGUAAAAAUAUCUUCAGUAAAUCUAACUUUCUACGUGGCUUUUCCCUACUCUUUAAUAUGGAAGAGCUGUAACCCACAAUUGCAAAUUUAUUGCACUAAUUACAUCAUCGCCUCUCCCCAACCGCACACUUCACCGUCUUUGUUCGUGAUUAAAUUAGUAAAUAAUAAACUGUAAAUCUAUUAUAUUUCUUGCAGAUAGAAUGGUAAAUACCCUCAUAUGAAAUAGAACAAGCAUAAGUUGGGUGACUGAGCGGAGAUGUUCUAUUUCCAAGUUGGGUGACUGAGUAAGUGCAUCAGUUUAUUUAUGCUGACAUCAACUGUCGCUAUAUUAUGUAUAUGCUAUUUGAAUUGGAACUAUAUUUGUAUUUCUACUACUCUAUGUAAAAUAUAUAGUAUGGUAAUACGAUUUUUGCAUUCUCCGUUUGUUUAACGUUGUUUCUUUUACACUUUCGUUUUUCAUCUAUUCCUCUCUCUGCAUAUUUUUCUUCUUUUGAUUUUCAUUUCACGCGCUUCCAAAAUUCUCUCAUUGUUACUAUGGGUCACAAAAUCACCAUGUCGUUUACUUUAUGUGAAGGAACCGGGUACCUGUUACUAAGAAGAGUAUAACCGGCUGGAAUGAUGGCAAAAAGACAGUCACUACAUUCUGUCAAAAUCAUGUUCAUUCUCUUGAUUUCUCUAUGAAAUAUGGCUAUUACGAAAAUAAGCCUUUUUUUUCUCUCUCCCUCUAACCAUCCGUUUGCCUCCCUUUGAGUUUCGUUUAGGUCGUUCUGAGAUAAGACAGUAUCAUAAUAUUUACUUGUCUCUAAGUAUUUGCCUGUAGGGUUUGUUCCUCUUGUUGAAAGUUUCUAGAAAAAAAUAGAUACUCUGUUUUGAAUAAACUUCAUAUCCGUCACAAGAACUUGCCGAGUGUUCGUCGCUACUGUACUGAAAAAAGUUUGAAUUUUGCAAAAGAAAAGUCAAUGUCAGUGGGUUUUAUCUUUGUGCUAUAGAUCAUUGGUUGGUUUUGUUAGUGGGUAUAAACCAUUUUUAUAAUAAAUUUAGAAGAAUAGAUGUGGGGUUCUUUCUUUCUUUCUUUCUUUUUUUGUUUCUUUUUGUUGCUAAAACAGAAUAAAAAUUCUGAAAAAGAUGACAAGAAUGUGUCAUAAAACUUAUUUAUUUACAUACAUUAUGCUAGUAUAAAUUUUCAAAUUAAAAAUUAUGAAUGCUGAAAAAUUUAUUUGUUACUUUUUACAAAAAAUAAAUUUGCAAAUUGAAAAUGAAUCAAAUUAUAUACAAAACAUGAUUAAAAUUAAAUAUUGAAAGCAUAUAAAUUUAAUUUAAAAUUAUGAAAUUUUAACUUUUUGAGCAAAUAUAAAAUUUUAACUAAAAACCCACAAAACUUAGAAAAAAACAAUAGAUAGGGUUUUUCGCGGGUAAUCCGUGGGUAACCCUAAAGUUUUAGGGUUUUUCGCGGAUUACCCUAAUGAUACUCGGGGUUUUCGGGUUUUUUAGUUUAUGGUAUUUUUUGGACAGGUUUAAUUCGGGUUCGGGCCGGGUCGGGUUUUUUUGUCCAUAACAACAUCCCUAGAACUUAGCAUACAUGUGGGGGCACUAAUUUCUGCAGAAAAGAAAAUGUACAUGUACUGUACAUUGAAAUUUAUCUCUUUUAUUAUGAACUUUAACUCUGAAAAUGGGUUAUACAAAAGUUAUAACUUGGUCCGACCGUAUUAACACAAAUGAUUUUGAAGAUGCCAAUAGGCAAAACGUGACGAUGGUUUUUGCAACAGUACUUCGUCGAACCAUCCUCUACCCAAAACCAGUCAACGCCGUGACACACAACAUAUCCACGAUCUAGCUAAAACCCAAAACUCCGAGAUUGCCAGAUCAAGUUUGGUUGAUAAUUCAAGCUCUCACCCAUGACCCGAAUGGCUAGAUUUGAUGGGGAUGCUGGUGAAGAAAGGUUACCUCGGAGAAUGCGUGACGGGUUCCAAAGAAUCGAAUCAUAUUCGCACUGCUUGUUUUGAUUUGAUUCUAUAUGGGUUUCUAUGCAUCUCGUGAAUGAAUUUGCUUUCUGGAUCAUUCGUUCCGUUAUAAUGUUUUAAGUGAGCUAAGAAUAUACUGAUUGGCAGUUUGGAUCCAUCUCUGGGGAUGUACAUGUAAUAUCGGUCCGUGAACAUUAACACAAAUCUUUUUAAAGAAGUUAAUAUCCUUAAUUAUGUCAUUUUGUUUUAUAUCCUUAUACUGAUGUAGGAAGAACUUCAAUUUCAUUUUGUUUUAUUUAUCACUGAAAUGAUGGGUUACAUAAAAGUUAUAUCGGUCCGUAAACAUUAUCACAAAUCUUUUUAAAGAAGUUAAUAUCCUUAUGUCGGCGAUUCAUGACAGGCAAUAAGCAAUGAUGAGGAAAUGAGUACACCACUUUGCAACAAUCGUUUCUUACCCAUCUGUAAUCAUUUUCCGCUGCUAAUUUCAACGAAUCAUAACAUCCCGGCACUUUAUCUAUGGCCCCUGUCGAACAAUAUUCCACUUUAGCUGCUGCUUCCGACAAUGCCGUGAAGAUUAGGGCUAAGAAGAAAAACAUCAAUUUAGAUUGUUUUGUAUUCAUUUUUGGAGGAUUGAAAAAGGACUAGCAGGUAUUCUUUUAUGGUUUUUGGAUUCUCUGGAGUUGAGAACUUUUGUUCUGGUGAAUAAAUGAAAAAAGUUUGCUUUAUAUAAAUUGAAGAUAGAGAUGAAAGACAGUAUGGCUAUAAAAUGAAUUCAAUGAUAACCAUUGAUUAUAGAAGAAUUCACAAAUAGAUAUCCCUCAGUUUACGGUACACUUCUCAUUUUUCCCUAUUAUUAGAAAAUCAAGCAACACCAAUAAGGAAAUAGAUAAUCUAAAAUUGAGGGAAAUCACAGAGAGAAAGGGAGUUAUGAUUUAUGAACCAGUAUUCAUAACAAUCAAAACUAUUAUUGAAAAAAUAGAAGUAAUAAAAAAAAAACAUAAUGCGCUAUAUAUGGCUAAAGCAUCGCGGUGCAUGAAAGACUAAGAGGUUUGUUAUGGACGAGUUAGAGCUUCCAAGUGGAUUGUUUGAGACAGGUUGUGAACCCACUGGCAAGAAAAGGGUUAACAACUAUUUCAAUCUCCGUUGGAUUGAAGUGAUAAAGAGUGCAUUGGAGGAUAAGGUGUAGUAGUUUACCACUCCCCCAUUAGAUUUAUAUCCAAGUGACAUAGUAUACAGUAUAUGGAAUGGAAAAGGUACAACAAUAUAUACAUGUCACUCUAAAAUUUGUAUCUACGUUUUUCACUGCAUAUUCCAUGUGGUCAUGAGGUUUAUAUUUUCAUAAGAUGUGGUUUCCCUAUGUAUUGGGGUUUAUAUUUCCGUAACUUGGGUUUAGUGUUUAUACUCAACUGUUGUAUUACCAGAAGCUGAUAUUAUGUAUUUCGUGUGGCUAAUUAAGAAUGUAAAUACUUAUCUCUGUGUAUUAAUGCACGCAUAUUUAGUUUACCAAAGAUUUCGCUUCUCUGUGCUGGAUUGGAGUUUAUAUUUCCCUAUCUUGGGUUUAGUAUUUGAUGUCAAGUGUUCUAUUAUCAUACCCCUAUCUUUGUAUUUUAUUUUGCUCAUGAAGCGUCUAAAUACAUAUGUCCCCUAGUAUGCCAGGUGGAUUUAAUUUCAAAAAGGUUUGGGUUCCGUUACCUAUGUCUUGGGGUUUAUAUUCCCCUAACUUGGGUUUAGUGAUUACUCUCAAUUGUUCUAUUAUCACCUCAGUUAGUUUUGUAUUUCAUCUGGCUCAUUAUGAAUGUAAAUACAUGUCUCCAAGCUCCCAUUAUAAUACUUAAAUAUAUACAUGAUGUACUCUGCAGCUAGUGUUUAAUGUCAAGUGUAGUAUUGAUAAGAUAGUUUCAAUUGGACUCCUUCAUAAGUUGGAUCUAUCUUCUCUCUUACUCCUCUGACUAAAUCAGACAUGUUCAUAUCACGGUAGAGGUUAAUGUAGUGCUCACCAAUGAAGGAAUGGUCUGGUUCGAACACCCAUCUUUUAUGUAUGCCACUGACCCAAGAUCCAACAACCAGUAAAACUUUAUCUUCGCUAUUCAUCUGCAAUUAAAAGUAAGUGAAAAUCCAUUUAUAUUUCAAAAUUUAUUCCAUUACAGAUUCAAAAUAGUAUUAUUGUAUCAGAAAAGAGUAAAUUUCCUAUGAAACUAGGUUUAUUAGAAUAUUCUCACACGAACUUACCCCUUCUUGCUUCCAAACAGUGAAUCUGUAACUUCCUUCACUUUGUUGCUUCUGAGGGUCUUCACAUAGAUUACAAUGAUUAUUAUAUGGAAUACACCAUUUAUGGUUUUCUUUCACUUCACCAUUUAAGAUUAGCGGUGCUCAUUUCCACCACUCGUUUACCUCUCCACAGUAAAAAUAUCUUCAGUAAAUCUAACUUUCUACGUGGCUUUUCCCUACUCUUUAAUAUGGAAGAGCUGUAACCCACAAUUGCAAAUUUAUUGCACUAAUUACAUCAUCGCCUCUCCCCAACCGCACACUUCACCGUCUUUGUUCGUGAUUAAAUUAGUAAAUAAUAAACUGUAAAUCUAUUAUAUUUCUUGCAGAUAGAAUGGUAAAUACCCUCAUAUGAAAUAGAACAAGCAUAAGUUGGGUGACUGAGCGGAGAUGUUCUAUUUCCAAGUUGGGUGACUGAGUAAGUGCAUCAGUUUAUUUAUGCUGACAUCAACUGUCGCUAUAUUAUGUAUAUGCUAUUUGAAUUGGAACUAUAUUUGUAUUUCUACUACUCUAUGUAAAAUAUAUAGUAUGGUAAUACGAUUUUUGCAUUCUCCGUUUGUUUAACGUUGUUUCUUUUACACUUUCGUUUUUCAUCUAUUCCUCUCUCUGCAUAUUUUUCUUCUUUUGAUUUUCAUUUCACGCGCUUCCAAAAUUCUCUCAUUGUUACUAUGGGUCACAAAAUCACCAUGUCGUUUACUUUAUGUGAAGGAACCGGGUACCUGUUACUAAGAAGAGUAUAACCGGCUGGAAUGAUGGCAAAAAGACAGUCACUACAUUCUGUCAAAAUCAUGUUCAUUCUCUUGAUUUCUCUAUGAAAUAUGGCUAUUACGAAAAUAAGCCUUUUUUUUCUCUCUCCCUCUAACCAUCCGUUUGCCUCCCUUUGAGUUUCGUUUAGGUCGUUCUGAGAUAAGACAGUAUCAUAAUAUUUACUUGUCUCUAAGUAUUUGCCUGUAGGGUUUGUUCCUCUUGUUGAAAGUUUCUAGAAAAAAAUAGAUACUCUGUUUUGAAUAAACUUCAUAUCCGUCACAAGAACUUGCCGAGUGUUCGUCGCUACUGUACUGAAAAAAGUUUGAAUUUUGCAAAAGAAAAGUCAAUGUCAGUGGGUUUUAUCUUUGUGCUAUAGAUCAUUGGUUGGUUUUGUUAGUGGGUAUAAACCAUUUUUAUAAUAAAUUUAGAAGAAUAGAUGUGGGGUUCUUUCUUUCUUUCUUUCUUUUUUUGUUUCUUUUUGUUGCUAAAACAGAAUAAAAAUUCUGAAAAAGAUGACAAGAAUGUGUCAUAAAACUUAUUUAUUUACAUACAUUAUGCUAGUAUAAAUUUUCAAAUUAAAAAUUAUGAAUGCUGAAAAAUUUAUUUGUUACUUUUUACAAAAAAUAAAUUUGCAAAUUGAAAAUGAAUCAAAUUAUAUACAAAACAUGAUUAAAAUUAAAUAUUGAAAGCAUAUAAAUUUAAUUUAAAAUUAUGAAAUUUUAACUUUUUGAGCAAAUAUAAAAUUUUAACUAAAAACCCACAAAACUUAGAAAAAAACAAUAGAUAGGGUUUUUCGCGGGUAAUCCGUGGGUAACCCUAAAGUUUUAGGGUUUUUCGCGGAUUACCCUAAUGAUACUCGGGGUUUUCGGGUUUUUUAGUUUAUGGUAUUUUUUGGACAGGUUUAAUUCGGGUUCGGGCCGGGUCGGGUUUUUUUGUCCAUAACAACAUCCCUAGAACUUAGCAUACAUGUGGGGGCACUAAUUUCUGCAGAAAAGAAAAUGUACAUGUACUGUACAUUGAAAUUUAUCUCUUUUAUUAUGAACUUUAACUCUGAAAAUGGGUUAUACAAAAGUUAUAACUUGGUCCGACCGUAUUAACACAAAUGAUUUUGAAGAUGCCAAUAGGCAAAACGUGACGAUGGUUUUUGCAACAGUACUUCGUCGAACCAUCCUCUACCCAAAACCAGUCAACGCCGUGACACACAACAUAUCCACGAUCUAGCUAAAACCCAAAACUCCGAGAUUGCCAGAUCAAGUUUGGUUGAUAAUUCAAGCUCUCACCCAUGACCCGAAUGGCUAGAUUUGAUGGGGAUGCUGGUGAAGAAAGGUUACCUCGGAGAAUGCGUGACGGGUUCCAAAGAAUCGAAUCAUAUUCGCACUGCUUGUUUUGAUUUGAUUCUAUAUGGGUUUCUAUGCAUCUCGUGAAUGAAUUUGCUUUCUGGAUCAUUCGUUCCGUUAUAAUGUUUUAAGUGAGCUAAGAAUAUACUGAUUGGCAGUUUGGAUCCAUCUCUGGGGAUGUACAUGUAAUAUCGGUCCGUGAACAUUAACACAAAUCUUUUUAAAGAAGUUAAUAUCCUUAAUUAUGUCAUUUUGUUUUAUAUCCUUAUACUGAUGUAGGAAGAACUUCAAUUUCAUUUUGUUUUAUUUAUCACUGAAAUGAUGGGUUACAUAAAAGUUAUAUCGGUCCGUAAACAUUAUCACAAAUCUUUUUAAAGAAGUUAAUAUCCUUAUGUCGGCGAUUCAUGACAGGCAAUAAGCAAUGAUGAGGAAAUGAGUACACCACUUUGCAACAAUCGUUUCUUACCCAUCUGUAAUCAUUUUCCGCUGCUAAUUUCAACGAAUCAUAACAUCCCGGCACUUUAUCUAUGGCCCCUGUCGAACAAUAUUCCACUUUAGCUGCUGCUUCCGACAAUGCCGUGAAGAUUAGGGCUAAGAAGAAAAACAUCAAUUUAGAUUGUUUUGUAUUCAUUUUUGGAGGAUUGAAAAAGGACUAGCAGGUAUUCUUUUAUGGUUUUUGGAUUCUCUGGAGUUGAGAACUUUUGUUCUGGUGAAUAAAUGAAAAAAGUUUGCUUUAUAUAAAUUGAAGAUAGAGAUGAAAGACAGUAUGGCUAUAAAAUGAAUUCAAUGAUAACCAUUGAUUAUAGAAGAAUUCACAAAUAGAUAUCCCUCAGUUUACGGUACACUUCUCAUUUUUCCCUAUUAUUAGAAAAUCAAGCAACACCAAUAAGGAAAUAGAUAAUCUAAAAUUGAGGGAAAUCACAGAGAGAAAGGGAGUUAUGAUUUAUGAACCAGUAUUCAUAACAAUCAAAACUAUUAUUGAAAAAAUAGAAGUAAUAAAAAAAAAACAUAAUGCGCUAUAUAUGGCUAAAGCAUCGCGGUGCAUGAAAGACUAAGAGGUUUGUUAUGGACGAGUUAGAGCUUCCAAGUGGAUUGUUUGAGACAGGUUGUGAACCCACUGGCAAGAAAAGGGUUAACAACUAUUUCAAUCUCCGUUGGAUUGAAGUGAUAAAGAGUGCAUUGGAGGAUAAGGUGUAGUAGUUUACCACUCCCCCAUUAGAUUUAUAUCCAAGUGACAUAGUAUACAGUAUAUGGAAUGGAAAAGGUACAACAAUAUAUACAUGUCACUCUAAAAUUUGUAUCUACGUUUUUCACUGCAUAUUCCAUGUGGUCAUGAGGUUUAUAUUUUCAUAAGAUGUGGUUUCCCUAUGUAUUGGGGUUUAUAUUUCCGUAACUUGGGUUUAGUGUUUAUACUCAACUGUUGUAUUACCAGAAGCUGAUAUUAUGUAUUUCGUGUGGCUAAUUAAGAAUGUAAAUACUUAUCUCUGUGUAUUAAUGCACGCAUAUUUAGUUUACCAAAGAUUUCGCUUCUCUGUGCUGGAUUGGAGUUUAUAUUUCCCUAUCUUGGGUUUAGUAUUUGAUGUCAAGUGUUCUAUUAUCAUACCCCUAUCUUUGUAUUUUAUUUUGCUCAUGAAGCGUCUAAAUACAUAUGUCCCCUAGUAUGCCAGGUGGAUUUAAUUUCAAAAAGGUUUGGGUUCCGUUACCUAUGUCUUGGGGUUUAUAUUCCCCUAACUUGGGUUUAGUGAUUACUCUCAAUUGUUCUAUUAUCACCUCAGUUAGUUUUGUAUUUCAUCUGGCUCAUUAUGAAUGUAAAUACAUGUCUCCAAGCUCCCAUUAUAAUACUUAAAUAUAUACAUGAUGUACUCUGCAGCUAGUGUUUAAUGUCAAGUGUAGUAUUGAUAAGAUAGUUUCAAUUGGACUCCUUCAUAAGUUGGAUCUAUCUUCUCUCUUACUCCUCUGACUAAAUCAGACAUGUUCAUAUCACGGUAGAGGUUAAUGUAGUGCUCACCAAUGAAGGAAUGGUCUGGUUCGAACACCCAUCUUUUAUGUAUGCCACUGACCCAAGAUCCAACAACCAGUAAAACUUUAUCUUCGCUAUUCAUCUGCAAUUAAAAGUAAGUGAAAAUCCAUUUAUAUUUCAAAAUUUAUUCCAUUACAGAUUCAGAAUAGUAUUAUUGUAUCAGAAAAGAGUAAAUUUCCUAUGAAACUAGGUUUAUUAGAAUAUUCUCACACGAACUUACCCCUUCUUGCUUCCAAACAGUGAAUCUGUAACUUCCUUCACUUUGUUGCUUCUGAGGGUCUUCACAUAGAUUACAAUGAUUAUUAUAUGGAAUACACCAUUUAUGGUUUUCUUUCACUUCACCAUUUAAGAUUAGCGGUGCUCAUUUCCACCACUCGUUUACCUCUCCACAGUAAAAAUAUCUUCAGUAAAUCUAACUUUCUACGUGGCUUUUCCCUACUCUUUAAUAUGGAAGAGCUGUAACCCACAAUUGCAAAUUUAUUGCACUAAUUACAUCAUCGCCUCUCCCCAACCGCACACUUCACCGUCUUUGUUCGUGAUUAAAUUAGUAAAUAAUAAACUGUAAAUCUAUUAUAUUUCUUGCAGAUAGAAUGGUAAAUACCCUCAUAUGAAAUAGAACAAGCAUAAGUUGGGUGACUGAGCGGAGAUGUUCUAUUUCCAAGUUGGGUGACUGAGUAAGUGCAUCAGUUUAUUUAUGCUGACAUCAACUGUCGCUAUAUUAUGUAUAUGCUAUUUGAAUUGGAACUAUAUUUGUAUUUCUACUACUCUAUGUAAAAUAUAUAGUAUGGUAAUACGAUUUUUGCAUUCUCCGUUUGUUUAACGUUGUUUCUUUUACACUUUCGUUUUUCAUCUAUUCCUCUCUCUGCAUAUUUUUCUUCUUUUGAUUUUCAUUUCACGCGCUUCCAAAAUUCUCUCAUUGUUACUAUGGGUCACAAAAUCACCAUGUCGUUUACUUUAUGUGAAGGAACCGGGUACCUGUUACUAAGAAGAGUAUAACCGGCUGGAAUGAUGGCAAAAAGACAGUCACUACAUUCUGUCAAAAUCAUGUUCAUUCUCUUGAUUUCUCUAUGAAAUAUGGCUAUUACGAAAAUAAGCCUUUUUUUUCUCUCUCCCUCUAACCAUCCGUUUGCCUCCCUUUGAGUUUCGUUUAGGUCGUUCUGAGAUAAGACAGUAUCAUAAUAUUUACUUGUCUCUAAGUAUUUGCCUGUAGGGUUUGUUCCUCUUGUUGAAAGUUUCUAGAAAAAAAUAGAUACUCUGUUUUGAAUAAACUUCAUAUCCGUCACAAGAACUUGCCGAGUGUUCGUCGCUACUGUACUGAAAAAAGUUUGAAUUUUGCAAAAGAAAAGUCAAUGUCAGUGGGUUUUAUCUUUGUGCUAUAGAUCAUUGGUUGGUUUUGUUAGUGGGUAUAAACCAUUUUUAUAAUAAAUUUAGAAGAAUAGAUGUGGGGUUCUUUCUUUCUUUCUUUCUUUUUUUGUUUCUUUUUGUUGCUAAAACAGAAUAAAAAUUCUGAAAAAGAUGACAAGAAUGUGUCAUAAAACUUAUUUAUUUACAUACAUUAUGCUAGUAUAAAUUUUCAAAUUAAAAAUUAUGAAUGCUGAAAAAUUUAUUUGUUACUUUUUACAAAAAAUAAAUUUGCAAAUUGAAAAUGAAUCAAAUUAUAUACAAAACAUGAUUAAAAUUAAAUAUUGAAAGCAUAUAAAUUUAAUUUAAAAUUAUGAAAUUUUAACUUUUUGAGCAAAUAUAAAAUUUUAACUAAAAACCCACAAAACUUAGAAAAAAACAAUAGAUAGGGUUUUUCGCGGGUAAUCCGUGGGUAACCCUAAAGUUUUAGGGUUUUUCGCGGAUUACCCUAAUGAUACUCGGGGUUUUCGGGUUUUUUAGUUUAUGGUAUUUUUUGGACAGGUUUAAUUCGGGUUCGGGCCGGGUCGGGUUUUUUUGUCCAUAACAACAUCCCUAGAACUUAGCAUACAUGUGGGGGCACUAAUUUCUGCAGAAAAGAAAAUGUACAUGUACUGUACAUUGAAAUUUAUCUCUUUUAUUAUGAACUUUAACUCUGAAAAUGGGUUAUACAAAAGUUAUAACUUGGUCCGACCGUAUUAACACAAAUGAUUUUGAAGAUGCCAAUAGGCAAAACGUGACGAUGGUUUUUGCAACAGUACUUCGUCGAACCAUCCUCUACCCAAAACCAGUCAACGCCGUGACACACAACAUAUCCACGAUCUAGCUAAAACCCAAAACUCCGAGAUUGCCAGAUCAAGUUUGGUUGAUAAUUCAAGCUCUCACCCAUGACCCGAAUGGCUAGAUUUGAUGGGGAUGCUGGUGAAGAAAGGUUACCUCGGAGAAUGCGUGACGGGUUCCAAAGAAUCGAAUCAUAUUCGCACUGCUUGUUUUGAUUUGAUUCUAUAUGGGUUUCUAUGCAUCUCGUGAAUGAAUUUGCUUUCUGGAUCAUUCGUUCCGUUAUAAUGUUUUAAGUGAGCUAAGAAUAUACUGAUUGGCAGUUUGGAUCCAUCUCUGGGGAUGUACAUGUAAUAUCGGUCCGUGAACAUUAACACAAAUCUUUUUAAAGAAGUUAAUAUCCUUAAUUAUGUCAUUUUGUUUUAUAUCCUUAUACUGAUGUAGGAAGAACUUCAAUUUCAUUUUGUUUUAUUUAUCACUGAAAUGAUGGGUUACAUAAAAGUUAUAUCGGUCCGUAAACAUUAUCACAAAUCUUUUUAAAGAAGUUAAUAUCCUUAUGUCGGCGAUUCAUGACAGGCAAUAAGCAAUGAUGAGGAAAUGAGUACACCACUUUGCAACAAUCGUUUCUUACCCAUCUGUAAUCAUUUUCCGCUGCUAAUUUCAACGAAUCAUAACAUCCCGGCACUUUAUCUAUGGCCCCUGUCGAACAAUAUUCCACUUUAGCUGCUGCUUCCGACAAUGCCGUGAAGAUUAGGGCUAAGAAGAAAAACAUCAAUUUAGAUUGUUUUGUAUUCAUUUUUGGAGGAUUGAAAAAGGACUAGCAGGUAUUCUUUUAUGGUUUUUGGAUUCUCUGGAGUUGAGAACUUUUGUUCUGGUGAAUAAAUGAAAAAAGUUUGCUUUAUAUAAAUUGAAGAUAGAGAUGAAAGACAGUAUGGCUAUAAAAUGAAUUCAAUGAUAACCAUUGAUUAUAGAAGAAUUCACAAAUAGAUAUCCCUCAGUUUACGGUACACUUCUCAUUUUUCCCUAUUAUUAGAAAAUCAAGCAACACCAAUAAGGAAAUAGAUAAUCUAAAAUUGAGGGAAAUCACAGAGAGAAAGGGAGUUAUGAUUUAUGAACCAGUAUUCAUAACAAUCAAAACUAUUAUUGAAAAAAUAGAAGUAAUAAAAAAAAAACAUAAUGCGCUAUAUAUGGCUAAAGCAUCGCGGUGCAUGAAAGACUAAGAGGUUUGUUAUGGACGAGUUAGAGCUUCCAAGUGGAUUGUUUGAGACAGGUUGUGAACCCACUGGCAAGAAAAGGGUUAACAACUAUUUCAAUCUCCGUUGGAUUGAAGUGAUAAAGAGUGCAUUGGAGGAUAAGGUGUAGUAGUUUACCACUCCCCCAUUAGAUUUAUAUCCAAGUGACAUAGUAUACAGUAUAUGGAAUGGAAAAGGUACAACAAUAUAUACAUGUCACUCUAAAAUUUGUAUCUACGUUUUUCACUGCAUAUUCCAUGUGGUCAUGAGGUUUAUAUUUUCAUAAGAUGUGGUUUCCCUAUGUAUUGGGGUUUAUAUUUCCGUAACUUGGGUUUAGUGUUUAUACUCAACUGUUGUAUUACCAGAAGCUGAUAUUAUGUAUUUCGUGUGGCUAAUUAAGAAUGUAAAUAC